GAUGAACGCUGGCGGCGUGCCUAAUACAUGCCAGUCGAGCGAACGGACGAGAAGCUUGCUUCUCUGAUGUUAGCGGCGGACGGGUGAGUAACACGUGGAUAACCUACCUAUAAGACUGGGAUAACUUCGGGAAACCGGAGCUAAUACCGGAUAAUAUUUUGAACCGCAUGGUUCAAAAGUGAAAGACGGUCUUGCUGUCACUUAUCGAUGGAUCCGCGCUGCAUUAGCUAGUUGGUAAGGUAACGGCUUACCAAGGCAACGAUGCAUAGCCGACCUGAGAGGGUGAUCGGCCACACUGGAACUGAGACACGGUCCAGACUCCUACGGGAGGCAGCAGUAGGGAAUCUUCCGCAAUGGGCGAAAGCCUGACGGAGCAACGCCGCGUGAGUGAUGAAGGUCUUCGGAUCGUAAAACUCUGUUAUUAGGGAAGAACAUAUGUGUAAGUAACUGUGCACAUCUUGACGGUACCUAAUCAGAAAGCCACGGCUAACUACGUG
rnacentral:rRNA from 1 species